ACAAUUUCAAGAGCCACGAAAGAGUUUCUCGCCUAAGGAAUUCCAAUUGCAAUUAAAUUCAACAUCAAAAGAGGAAUCAAACACCAAAUCAAAAAGGGAUUUCAAAACCCUAGAUGGAUGGAAUUCUUCAGCUAUAAAAGAGCAACCUCCAAACCAGCAAGGGGCAUAUUCUGAUCAGCUACUCAGCAUCUUCUCCCCUCGCCAGAAACUCUGCAGCUUCUUUCUUUCCUUUCUUUUCAUCUUUUGUGUAUUUAGUCCACCAUGAGUGGCUAAUUUCCUUCUUUUCUAGUUGAAAUUGAGGAAAUUUAGAUUUGUGAUGAAUUGGGAGAUUUAAAACUCCAUUGUUAAACUCUUGUUUGCUUUCAAUAUUUAUGCAACUAGAUCUUUUCCAUAAUUAUUACUUUGCUUUUAGAAUCAAUAAGGGCCCGUUGCUUUUAAAUUGCUUGAGUAAUAAAUUGUUUGAAUGAUUUAGGUCGGUAAUUGCUUAUAUUGUUUGAACACAAAUUUAAUCAAGUUGCAUGAUCUAAACUUGGCCACGCGGUUGGCAAGGUUAGAAUUAGGUUUCUCUAAGUCUUAAUGCAGUUAACAGUUGUUCGAUGCCAAAGGCCCCAAUGACGUUCCUUGGCAACUUGUUAACUAGUGUUUGAUUAGCGAACGUUUCCUAAUCAAACUAGAACUAAGGAGGAAUUUGGAUUGUGAGAAGCGUCUUCCACAUCCUAAACUAAUUUAUUGAGAUAAAUAGGAGUAUUAAAGAAUCAAUGAUCAAUUCUAAACAAUCUGAAAUAGAUCCAUACUUCAACUAGAAGCUUUUCUCUUAUUGAUUUACUCAAACUUUAAAUUAUUGCUUUCUUUUGCUAUUUAAUUUUAAUCAUCAAAUCAAAACCCCCCUCUUUUAUUUACUUGCUAUUUACCUAGUCAUUAUUAGGAAAGAGGAAAGUCUUUGGUGUCAAUUCCCUAUGGUUCGACCCUAUUGCCACUAUCUACAAAUUUAUUUGUUGAUUGAUAAUAGGUUUAUUUUUUACGGCUUCGACAACCGCUUAUCAAAAAUUGGCGCCGUUGCCGGGGAAUUGAUUUAAACUAACGUAUUUUCCCUUUAUGACCAGGUCUGGCCGUAAAGACACUCUUCUUUACGAUCUGGAGAUUGAGAAAACUGCCAAGAGCUUAAGGAAGCAAGCAAAUUUGAGGAACCAAGCCUCAAAACCAUCUUCAUCAACAACUCCAUCUUACAGACCAGCUACUGCCCCUGCUGCAGAAAUUUCUGCACCAGCAGAGACCUUCAUCACCACACCUCGCACUGCUGAAAUUGAACCAGAAACUGAACUUCUGGUUAUGGCAGAAAAUCCAGCAAUGGCAGAACCACCUGCUGCACAUGUAGAAGCUGAAAUACAAGCUGGAAACAUGCCCAUCCAAGCACCUCAGCCACGGGAAAGAACUCUCGAAGAGCUAGCUGAACCAGCAGGAGACCUAGCACCCUUAUGCAUUGCAUAUCCCCCAUUGACAGCACCUUUUGAACUUAAGACAGGUCUGAUCCAUCUCCUUCCCAAAUUCAGAGGCCUAGAAAAUGAAGAUCCUCACAAGCAUUUGAAGGCAUUCCACGUUGUGUGCUCCACCUUGAAACCCCAAGGUAUUUCCGAAGAGGACAUCAAACUUAGAGCCUUCCCUUUUUCCCUUGAUGACUAUGCCAAGGAAUGGCUAUUCUACUUACCACCCGGAUCCAUCACAUCAUGGGCUGGUAUGGUGAGAGCAUUCUUGAGAAAAUUCUUUCCUACCUCAAAAGCCAUAGGCAUCCGUCGAGAGAUAAGUGGCAUAAGGCAAAAGCACUCUGAAGGCUUGUAUGAGUACUGGGAGAGGUUCAAAAAGCUGUGCACAAGCUACCCCCAGCAUGAUAUUUCUGACCAAUCUCUCAUUGAGUAUUUCUAUGGAGGUCUGCUACCCUCAGAGAGAAAAAUUAUUGAUGCAGCUUGUGGAGGAUCAAUUGAAAGAAAAUCACCUCGAGAGAUGAGGGAAUUAAUUUCCACCAUGGCUGCAGCUUCUCAGCAAUUUGGAGACCAAGAGCAGCCACCAAGAAGGGUAAAUGAGGUGAGUACAUCCAUUUUAGCAUCCCAAAUUUCUGAUCUCACCAAUGCUGUCCGUACCUUGUUGUGGGUCAAACCCAACAAGUCCAGCAGAUUCAGCAGCCCAAGCCAUGUGGAAUAUGUGCCAACAACCACCCAACUGAUCUAUGUCCUUCCCUUUAAGAGGAGGACCAGCAAGUCAAUGCUGUUGGAGGUUUCAAUGGGCAAAGAAGGUAUGAUCCAUAUGCAAAUACUUAUAAUCCAGGUUGGAGGGACCAUCCAAAUUUCAGUUAUGCAAGGGGAAAUCAAUAUCCAAGCUACCAGCAAAGGAAUCAAGCUCAAGCUGCACCUCAAAACUCCAAUGCACCUCUUGAAGAGAUUGUGAAGACUUUAGCAAAUACUGUGCAAAAUCUUGAGAAACAAAUGAGUCAAAUGGCCAUUUCAGUGAACAAACUUGAAUCACAAAGAAAGCUACCUUCCCAAACUGAGAUAAAUCCAAGACAAAAUGUUAGUGCCAUCACAUUGAAGAGUGGAAAAGAGCUGCAAGACAGUAGGGCUGAAAAAUUACAAAAACAGGCCAUGGAAAAAAAUCUGCCAGAAAGUGAUCAGGGCAGUCGAUUUGCCCAAAUCACUGACCCAAUCGCUAGGCAGACUGAGCUGCCCAGCAGUGAUCUGCCCAAAUCACCAGAGAAGGCAGAGAUCGAUCUGCCCAAAUCAACAGAUCAUGCAGAGUCCAGUCAAAGGCAAAAACAGCAACCAGCAGAAAAAUUCAAGGUACCUUACCCUUUUCCCAAAAGAUUUGCAAGAUCUCAAAAAGAAAAAGAGGAGAAAGAGAUACUUGAGACACUCCGCAAGGUGGAAAUCAAUAUACCUCUACUUGAUGCUAUCAAACAAAUACCAAGGUAUGCUAAAUUUCUCAAAGAGCUAUGCACCAAUAGGAGGAAACUUGUUGAACAUGAAAAGGUAAGUGUGGGGGAGUGUGUCUCAGCUGUCAUUCAAAGGAAGCUUCCAACCAAAUGUAAGGAUAGAGGAAUGUUUGUCAUUUCAUGCAAAAUAGGCAACAUAGGGAUAAAAAAGGCCAUGUGCGACCUUGGGGCAUCAAUCAAUGUUAUGCCACUUUCCAUCUUUAACUUAUUGAAUGCAGGUACACUCAAGGGCACCAGCAUAGUAAUCCAAUUGGCCGACCGAUCGGUUGUUUACCCCAAGGGAGUCCUAAAAGAUGUGUUGGUACAAGUUGACCAACUAGUCUUCCCAGCAGAUUUUUAUGUGAUUGACAUGGAGGAGGAUAAGGGCAACAUCACCUCUGACAUCUUACUUGGGAGACCAUUCUUGAGCAUAGCCAGAACAAAAAUUGAUGUGCAUGAUGGCACAUUAACCAUGGAGUUUGAAGGGGAAGUUAUCAAGUUUAAUAUUUAUGAUGCCAUGAAAUUCCCCAAUGAUGUUUCUCCUGUUUAUGGCCUUGAUAUAAUUGAUGAUUUAAGUCAGGAAAUUUUUGAUUUUGAUCAAGAAAACUUACUUUAUGAAGGUCUUUGCGGGAGAGAAGAAGUGGACAGCAACACAAAGACAGACCAGAUGGAGUACUGUUCACAGCUGGUUGCAGGUGAUUUGCCCAAAUCACCAAAUGAUCUGCCCAAAUCACCUAAGCAAGCAGACCCCAUCUCGCCCAAAUCACUGGAGCAGACAGACUUGACAGAGAGUGAUUUGACCAGUGAUUUGCCCAAAUCACUGGCCAAAUCAGACAGCAAACAGUAGAAAUCAGAGCAGACAGCAGAUACACCAGAUCUGAAGCCCUUGCCCAGCCACCUCAAAUAUGCAUACUUGGAGGCUGGAAAUACACUUCCAGUAAUUAUUUCUAACCAGCUCAGCCAAGAAGAAGAAGAAAAGCUCCUUGAUGUGUUAAGGAAGCACAAAAAAACAAUUGGGUGGACCUUGGAGGACAUAAAAGGCACCUCAAGACCAUUUGGUGGAGGCUCAUCUCACCAGAAUCAAUGACAGAAUGCAGCAUAUGGAGCACUUGCUGCAGCUGCUGGUGGACCAUUUUCUGCCCCACCACCAUGACAGACAGUGAUUUAGCGAGUGAUUUGCCCAAAUUACUGGCCAAAUCACCCCCAGUCCAGGAAGUCCCUUUCCCUUUCCUUCUUAAUUUUUUCAUAUAUAUGUUUACACAUUGAGGACAAUGUUUGCAGUAGGUGUGGGGGUACUGUUAGGUUAUUUUUGCAUUGUUUACAUUAUCUUUUUGCUUUCUUUUUGUUUCUUUUUGCAUUUUUUUUGCCCAUAAACACACACCAAAAUUUUUUCACACAUUUUUCACUUUUUGCACACACACACACAGAAUUUUGACUGAGCUUUUGCUCUACUCAGCAUAGAUAACAAGGUUAAAAGAGCUUCCUAUCUCAUGACCCCAUUGAUUUUCCACCACUUUAAGCCUAAAUUGAAUCAAUUAUAGUGUGCUACCUUCACUUUGGAAGUUCUUUUCUUGAAUUGAAUCUCUAAAUUUGCAUUGGUCAAGGGAAAUAAAAAUAUAAAUACAUGCAAAUAAAAAGUUAGUGUAACUCCCUAUGAGGUGAUUUGCCCAAACUGUCAUGAAAAGAAAAGAAAAAGAAAAACCAGCACAAAGCACAAAUCAUAAACCUGUUCCAAUGGCCAAAUAAGCUAUGAACAGAGCUAGUAGCCACUUGAACAAGUGACUAACUGAGUAACCGGGGGUGGGUAUCACCAAUAUGCACCUUCGCGUAAAAAGGUUAGUGAUUUUUUCAGGCAAGAAUAAAAAAGUGCUGCUGAAUAAAAUAAAAAGCUCAAGGGAAGGCAAGUCACUCUUAGAGGUUGCACUGAGCUUACACAAAUAGAGUAAGCAUGAUUGAAUCAAAAACCUUUCUCUUGGCCAUGGUAGGUAAGGGAAACAAGGUAAAGAGAGAACAACCUUAGUGCAUGUAAUCUACACUGUGUUGCUUCAAUUUAGGAGUCUAGGGGGGCUGAUUAAGUUGUAUUUAGGCUCAAAAGAAAAGGGAGGCUUGAUUGGCUAAGUUAUUUGUUGCUUGAGGACAAGCAAAAGGCUAGGAGUGGGGGUAUUUGAUCAAGCAUAAUUUAGCCACAUUUUUAUUAUAUUUAUUACUGUUUAUUUACACAUUAUUUAGCUUAAUUUAUGGUUUUUACCUUGUUUUUACAGAAAAAAGAAGAAAUUGGAAAAAUGGAGAAAAAGUGCAGAAAAUGACAGAAAAGUGAUUGGGUCAGUGAUUUGCCCAAAUCACUGCCCAGAUCAAGCUGAAGCAGAAACCUGGAGGCAACAGGCAGAAGUGAUAUGGGCAAGUGAUCUGGCCAAAUCACUCGUAGAAACUGGCCAAAUCACUCGCAGAGACAGAGACAGAAACUGGACUGAAUCCCAGAGAGCGAUUGGGGCAGAUUGGGCAAGUGAUCUGCCCAAAUCACUCGCAGAAACUGCCCAAAUCACCUUAACAGCAGAAAUUGACAGCAGAGGCGGGAAAACAGCAGGGAACCGAAUUUUGAAUUUUUAGAAGUCCAAAUCCAACUCAAUCACUACCAACACAAUUUCAAGAGCCACGAAAGAGUUUCUCGCCUAAGGAAUUCCAAUUGCAAUUAAAUUCAACAUCAAAAGAGGAAUCAAACACCAAAUCAAAAAGGGAUUUCAAAAGCCUAGAUGGAUGGAAUUCUUCAGCUAUAAAAGAGCAACCUCCAAACCAGCAAGGGGCAUCUUCUGAUCAGCUACUCAGCAUCUUCUCCCCUCGCCAGAAACUCUGCAG
rnacentral:lncRNA from 1 species